rnacentral:rRNA from 1 species
GUAAGGAAUAUUGGACAAUGGACGCAAGUCUGAUCCAGCCAUGCCGCGUGAAGGAUUAAGGUCCUCUGGAUUGUAAACUUCUUUUAUAAGGGACGAAAAAAGGCUUUUCUAAGUCGUCUGACGGUACCUUAUGAAUAAGCACCGGCUAACUCCGUGCCAGCAGCCGCGGUAAUACGGAGGGUGCAAGCGUUAUCCGGAUUCACUGGGUUUAAAGGGUGCGUAGGCGGGCAGGUAAGUCAGUGGUGAAAUCCUAGAGCUUAACUCCAGAACUGCCAUUGAUACUAUCUGUCUUGAAUAUUGUGGAGGUAAGCGGAAUAUGUCAUGUAGCGGUGAAAUGCUUAGAUAUGACAUAGAACACCUAUUGCGAAGGCAGCUUACUACGCAUAUAUUGACGCUGAGGCACGAAAGCGUGGGGAUCAAACAGGAUUAGAUACCCCGGUAGUCC